rnacentral:rRNA from 1 species
GUGGGGAAUAUUGGACAAUGGGCGAAAGCCUGAUCCAGCCAUGCCGCGUGUGUGAAGAAGGUCUUCGGAUUGUAAAGCACUUUAAGUUGGGAGGAAGGGCAGUAAGUUAAUACCUUGCUGUUUUGACGUUACCAACAGAAUAAGCACCGGCUAACUUCGUGCCAGCAGCCGCGGUAAUACGAAGGGUGCAAGCGUUAAUCGGAAUUACUGGGCGUAAAGCGCGCGUAGGUGGUUCAGCAAGUUGGAGGUGAAAUCCCCGGGCUCAACCUGGGAACUGACUCCAAAACUGCAUGACUAGAGUACGGUAGAGGGUAGUGGAAUUUCCUGUGUAGCGGUGAAAUGCGUAGAUAUAGGAAGGAACACCAGUGGCGAAGGCGACUACCUGGACUGAUACUGACACUGAGGUGCGAAAGCGUGGGGAGCAAACAGGAUUAGAAACCCGGGUAGUCC